UACGGAGGGUGCAAGCGUUAUCGGGAAUUAUUGGGCGUAAAGCGUCCGUAGGUGGUUGAGUAAGUCUGCUGUUAAAGCGUGGAGCUUAACUCCAUACCGGCAGUGGAAACUACUGGACUAGAGUGCGGUAGGGGUCAGGGGAAUUCCCAGUGUAGCGGUGAAAUGCGUAGAUAUUGGGAAGAACACCGGUGGCGAAAGCGCCUGACUGGGCCUGCACUGACACUGAGGGACGAAAGCUAGGGGAGCGCAAGGG
rnacentral:rRNA from 1 species